UCUCUGUCUCUCUCUUCCCUUCCAUAAUCCACUAAAUAAACAUCCAUCCUCACUCUGCAUGGCGUGCUUCUCCAUCUUUCUCUCAUCCGCCCCAUGGUUCCCUGCUCAGGACUGGCCACCUUCAUAGACCUGCAGCAGGGUCUCGUGGUGUGCCCAUUGGUCUAUCUCUCCUUGUGGCCUGCUGCAGCCUCUCAGGGAACUGCGCCAUCCCUGCCUGGGACUGACUGCUCUCGGGAUCUGCUGUUCGCUGCCUGCAACCACGUGGCCCACUGCCACUGCUAGGGAACCUGCAGCAUUUCUGCCAUUGCAGCUGCAGCCACCGGGAAUCCUGUAGCAUUUUUAGUUUUUCCAUUUUUCCGUGAGGGCCUUGCUGCCCCUCACCCCUUCCCUGUCACAUCCUUCUGUAAGGCCAGCCGCCCACAUCACCCAGACUUCUAGGUUCAGAUGAGAGAAUGGAUCCCCAGUCUCUCCCUGUUGGAUGCUUCACCCUCUACCCCCAUGUUCACACCUCAGACCAACAGUCCCAGUCCUAGGUCUUGGGACCACUGUGAGGACUAGAGAGCUCCUCACAGUGCCAUAUUCUCACGGUGGACUGAUGAGGCAGCCCCUCUCACAAGUUCUGGUCCCCAGGUCAGGCUCUACUUUGCUAACACAGACCCAGGGAGAGGGACAGUGCUUGGCGAUAUUGUGCCAGGCCAGGACUGUAUGCAUAGCCAUAGAAAUCCCCAUACCGUGAGCCCGUCAAUCACGCAUGAUUCAGCUACCAGCCAAGCGUGGUGCUAGGGGCUGGGCAUGGCCUCCCCAAGCUUUGCUCCACUCUCCCUCCACAGCAGCAGUGAGAGAUGCCUUCAGAUUCAAAACAGCAAUAAUGAUGGCGUGAGACAGCGGCAGAGAGCUGCGUGUCUGCUGAUAGGCUCUCUGCCGCUGUCUGCCCAGCAACUGUCCCAGCUACUGCUAUCUACGUUUGCAACAGUGUCUGUCUUUGGCAACAGUGAGCACUGGUGUGGUCCUGAUAUGAAUGUUCAGGGCAUCUGGGAGGCUAGGUUUCCAGGGUUGACCUUGGAAGGAGAGGAGUCCCCCAUCUGCUGCUACUGGCUCCCAGUGAGACAGCACAGGUGAUCGUGGCAUGUAUCACCAUGGAGACAAAGCCUGCUGCCGUGAUCCAGGUUCAGCUACCUUCGGCUUCUGCCAAGGGCUCUCUGAGCAUGAAGCCUUACUCUGGAGUCUCAAAAGCGGAAAACAGGCCAAUCCCAGACAAUACAAUUGGGUGCUACACACAGCUACUUCACAUGGUCACCGAAUCCCUUGUAGGUGACACAGCAGGGUAUCGUGGUCACAUAGCUGGAUAUUAUGGAAGCCAGUAAGCUAGGUAUCUUGUUUGCUAAUCAGGGCAUUAUCUAAUGCUUACUUAGAAAAAUAUACUUUUAGCUCUAAGUCAGAGGGUGGGAAAAUAUGUUAAUCACAAGCUCCUCUUGCUCCCGGAGUGUCAAAGACUUCAGCUCCUUUGUUUUCCAAAGGAAAGAGGAGAGAGGUGUGGGGUGCUGAAAGGCCAAGGUACCUGACACUACUGAGACCCCACCAAGGAUGAAGGGGAAUGCAGAUCAUUGGUGCCCAGUUUGAACUGACACCUCCUGAUGCAUCCCUAGCCUCCAGCACAGACCUGCUCUGCUGCCCACUGGCCCCGGUAAUUGCCGUCACCUGGGGACACCAGCAAUGCCUGGCCUAGAAUGACCUCUGAUUGGUGGACACUGGCCGUGCUGUGAUUUGCCUCCCAGAGCCAGCAGUGUAGACCCAAGCUGAGGAGUUCUCUGACCACCAGUCCCUACCAGCAGAACCCAGAGGUGGCAUGGGGUGGCUGUGGCCUCUCACAGGUGCAAAGCUGACUGUCUAAAGAACUGAAAGUACACUUCACACUUGGACGGAAUCCUUUCAACAGAACAAAAGACAAAGCCACAGAAGUGUCCUGCCUCUGGGGCCUCCCACGCCUCCCCUAAAUCUUCGUAAAUAAUGGGCAUGUACUUCUCGGGGGUUCUGUCACGUCCCUCAUAGGCUUGUUUGUUCAAACACUAGAUCUCUACCUGGUGUGCUGCUCUGGAAGGCUGUGGACCUUUAAGACUUGUGUGUGUGGAAGCCCCAAAGUGUGAGUCUAUUUCCACCUUGUUUGAAGGUCAGAGUUUUAGUGAGCUCAAAGUUGUUAACAGCAGGUGUGGUUACACACCCUGACCUAGGGUGUGGUUACUUUGUGUUUUGGAUAGAUAGACCCUCUCCACCUUGACAGAAGGUCAGAGGAUUCAAGCACACUUCUGCUUCUUCUUUGAAUUAAGAGGUUUGACCUAGGGAGCGGCUGCCUUCAGGAUACUUGGUCUAGGGUGGGUUCACUGACUAAACAACAGGAUGCUAAUGACUUGAUGUCUCAAAGUAGAGAGGCCACUAACUCUUCCAGUUGUCUUUUGUGUCCUGAUACUGCAGUCUUUUGUCUCCCCCCCCCCUUGUAUUGGGGUGUAAAAGUGUACGAAAAAUUAAACAUGACCAUUUCAGUGUUCACGGGGACUCUCUCCUGGUACUAUCCUA